GAGAAAGAGAGCGAGCUCUGGGUGGGAAGGCACAGAGGGUGAAGGAGAGAAAGAAUCUUAAGAAGACUCACACCCAGCACAGAGCUGAUUCAGGCUCCAUCUCACCACCCUGAGAUCAUGACCUAAGCUGAAAUCCAAAGCUGAAUGCUUAACCAACUGAGCCAGCCAGGCAUCUACCUCCCUUGACUAUACCAGAUGUAAUGUCCAUCACGGUAAAUUCUCCUCUCGCUUUCCCUAUGUCUUCUUCUUACCUCUCCAGAAAGCCAACCUCUUUCUUGGGCAUCUUGCAUAUUUUAUUUAACAAACAAAUAAGAUUUACCUUGUACGAGAGCCUGUUGUGAGCCCUUAUAAAUACUAAUUAAUUAAUUAGUUAAUUACAAGCAUUAAGUGAGAACAUUAUGCCUACUUUGCAACCAGGAGAACUGAAGCUCAGAGAGGUUAAGUGAUUUGCCCAAGAUCACAAACUAGUAAGGGACUGAGUCAUUUCCAAUCCUAAAUUGAUGCCUUUCUCCCAAAUACGUCCACUUAACUAUCCUAAAACUAACCCUCUCCAUCUCCUCUACCCGUUUAUUUGUAACCUGGCUAUUUCUUUAUGAUCACUCAUUUCUGCUGAUGGCCCUCUUUCUCCACUUGCCAGUUCGAGAAGUUUGGAGUCAUUUAGGGUGGGAAAAGCAGGAAACCUGCAUUCUGGCUUCAGCUUUUCACAAACCGCGUGACCCAGAGCCAGUCACCCCCCGCUGGGCUGACGCCAUCUGCUUGCCUCCCUCUGAACUCUGAACGCGUCAGCUCUAACUUCUUCCUCUUCUUUACCCUUUGGGUCUCAUCGUCCACCAAGCCCUGUUAUUUAUACUUCAGAAACCUCAUUCCUACUUACUGCUCUUGUCCUUCCUCCUUCCCCUUUGGCCUCAGCAAUCAACGUCCGGUAACAGCACAAAGAAAAUUUUUUAAUCGCCUCCUUGCCUGUUGCUUCUUUUUAUUCUGAUUGAAGCAAACUCUACCGUUGUAUGAAUUUUACUAAGACACUUGUUUCAUCAUCUUCUUUCCCUGCUUAGUUAACUUUAGUGACUUCCCAUAGCGCUACAACCAAGUGGGUUCUCUGCAACUGGUUUGUGUAUAGGCCCACCCUAUGUAACUAAUUCUGGCCCUCACCUCUCUGUAGAAGCAAAGAAGAUCUGGCCUGGGGCCUUCCUUGCUGGUGUCAUUUUUCCUGUCUUCCUCAUGGCUGAAGUCCUAGCCAGUCUCUCCUGAUCCUUCAAAGUUUGAAUGGAGUUUAUACCUCCGCCUCUACCUGAAGGAGCCUGUCUUUCAAUGCGACAGCACCUUGAACUAGCUAGAAAGGGUAGGUCAUCGCCAAAGAACACACCCUAGUGGAAUUUAAGGUCCACAGGACUGCAGAGCAAAGUGUGAUCAUUUGCACAACUCCUUCUUUAUUCCCUGAGCCUUUUAAGAUUGUGUUCAUCUGUCACCUUCUGAGAGCAUCUGUUUAACACUGGAAUGCCCCUUUCUCAGCUCUGAUACUUCUAACUCCAUCUCCAAUUUUGUUUUUCUCUAUAGGACUUUCUCACUAUCUGACAUACUCUAAGACUUAUUAAUUUAUGUUUAUUAUCCCUCAUGCUUCUAGAAUAUGAUUCCAUAAGUGCAGAGAAUUUUGUUUUACCCACUGCUCUACCUCCAUUGCCGAGAACAAUGCUUGACACAUAGUAAGUGUUUGACAAGUACUCAUUGAAUAAAUAAAUGCACACUUGACUCAGUAUUGAGCACAGACCACACACUCAGUAUUUGUUAAAGUGAACUUGGAUGGGAGUGAUCGAGUUUCCCGUGUCUUUCGGAAGAAAGUAAGACUCUUUUCUUAUUCUCUUGAGUUUUUCAGCUGUGCCUUUGUCUGAAAUCUCUGUAUUUCUCUCUUGGGUGGAGAAAUGAAACCAGCAGGUAGAUUAUUACAAGAAAGUAUAUAUUUGUAUUACUGUUUUGUCAUUGACAACAGAUACAGAGAGAUUCGCGUGCUGGCAUUUAAAUCCAGCCAUGACUCAAACAUGAGAAUUGGAAUUUCUAUUUUUCUCCACUUUAUUCCUUGUACUGUCACAAGAAAUCUGUAAGUAUGAAAAGAAUAUAGAAUAAGAAACUUUCCCUUAAUGAUCAUGGUGAUAAACACACAUGUAUGAGCAUAAUGUAUAUAUUUUAUAUGUACACUUUUUAUAUUAUUUUUUAAUUUAGGAUUUAGCCCAUAUUCCAAUGUGCAACGUUAUUUCAAUAGUAAUAUUCGUCCCAUAGCAUUUUAUAACUAGAAAGACCUUGGAUUAAUUCACUAAUUCAUUAACUCACUAUUUUAUUAUCAUCUGUAUGCUUUUUCUUCAUUCCCCAGACAUUACUGAGUGGUGACCAUGCAUGUGUCAGGCUCUGUGCUAAGGGAUACUACGGGCAAAACAAUGAACAAUACUUGCUCCCGGACUUCGCAGAACUCAGGGUCUAGGAUCGCAAAAGCGUUACAAAGGAAAGAAGCAGCUUGGGUUCCUGUGACAAGGCAGGGAAGUUUUGUUUCCCAAAACUCUGGUGAAUGCGGAAACACAGAGGGGAAGUGAUUUAUUCUAGUGGAAAGGGUGUUGGCAGAGGGUCGGACGCUGAGGAAGAGUGACUUAACUCACGCAGUGACACGGGGACUGGGUCUUAAACAACAAGGAAGCAUUCGCCGGGCAGAGAAGGGCGUUCAGACGUCGCAGGCACAAGGAGCACAGCGUGCCAAAGCGGAGGGGCCCCCACCCGCCAUGGUCCAUACCAGGAAUGAAAAGUACAAGAGGAGCUGCCCGGCACAGAGGCAAGCGGUGAGAAAGGAGGUGGGCGGGGCCUGAAUAGGACCAUCCUGUCGAAGAGUUGAGACUUUCUUCUACCAGGUGGUGGUUGCUGUUUCUGUAUCUAGGUCAUCGUCUCCUGGGGGUUGAUGCCUCUUGCUACCUGGAGGUGCGUGGUGGGGACCAUCCAGUAGAGGACAGACCCAGCGUGGUGAGGAUGAGGCCUCCUAGAUCCGGCGCUGUCACCCCCAUCUUUCGCACCCUGCGCACACGCACUGGACACGAAUGAAGACCUACACAGUUCUCUACAGAAGGAUUUAGGCAGGUUUCCAAGAGUCACAUCGGAUAGGGAGAGAAGUCAGGCGUGGUGCUCUGGUCUGGUUCCUUCCGCCUCUUACUGGAGUGCCUCACUGGGGUACAGUCAUUGCCUCAUUCCUGACCUCAGCUCUCUCACUGACUUCCCUUAGGCCACCCCCACUGAUCCACUUCCCCAUCAGUCUGUUUUCUUCUCCCUAAAGAAAAAAAUCAUACCUGGAGACGAGUGGGUGAUCGUGGUUGGCUUAGAAGAGCUCCGACUCAUUCUCCUGAGCUACCGAAGGAGAAGAGGGACAAAGGGGAGGGUAGCUGGUGUAGACAGCGAAGACAACCCACCAUAUUCACACUGUUGAGAAGUUGAGUAAGAUGAUGCCCAUGAAGGACAGAGCAUACUCCUGGACAGUCGCUAUCGUCUCAGGGCAUAUUCCGAGAACUGGAAUUUAUUGGGUCAAAAAUUAUAGACUCCUGCCAAAAAAUGCAUAAAUCUAAUCAUGAGGAGACAGUAGAAGAACUUAAAUUAAGGACAUUCUACUAACAGGGCAGUCUCUAAAAAAUGUCAGCGUCAUGAAAGACAAGGAAAGUCUGAGGAACAGGUUCAGAUGCAAAGAGACUACAGAGGGGCACCUGGGUGGCACAGUCGGUUAAGCAUCGGGCUCUUGAUUUCGGCUCAGGUCAUGAUCUCAGGGUGGCGAGAUCAAACCCCAUGUCCAGCCGCACGUUGGGCCCCACGCUCGGUGGGGAGUCUGCUUGAGAUUCUCUCCCUCUCCCUCUGGCCCCACCCCCUCCAAUAAAUAAAUAAAUCUUAAAACAAAAAAGAGAGAGAAAGAGAGUGCAGAGACAGAGCAAGUAAAGGCAAUGAGGGAUGAUGCUAGACUAGACCUCAGAUCAAGAAAAAUAAUUACCCUAAAGAAUAUCACUGGGGAGGGGGAGAUGAACCGUGAGAGACUGUGGACUCUGAGAAACAAACUGAAGGUUUUGGAGGGGAAGGGGAUGAGGGGAUGGGUGAACCUGGUGGUGGGUAUUAAGGAGGGCACGUAUUGCAUGGAACACUGGGUGUGGUGCAUAAACAGUGAAUCUUGGAACACUGAAAAAACAAAAUAAAAUUUUUAAAAAAUCAGGAAAAAAAAGAAUAUCACUGGGGCAAUUGGCAAAAUCUGCAUAUUGACUAUGUAUUUGAUAACAAAAUAUUAUAUCAAAGUUAUAUUUUCUAAAUUUGAUACUUAUACUGUGGUUGCAUAAGAGACUAUCCUUAUUCAUAGGGGAUACAUACUCGAGUUUUUAGGAUAAAACAGCAGAAAGGUAUAAUGUCUGCAAUGUAUGUUCAGAUGCUCACCCUUGAUGAUGACGAUAACGAUGAUAUUGAUAACAUUAAGAGUAUUUUUUUUAAGAUUUUAUUUACUUAUUUGACAGACAGAGAUCACAGGUAGGCAGAGAGGCAGGCAGAGAGAGAGGAGGAAGCAGGCUCCUGGCUGAGCAGAGAGCCGGAUGCAGGGCUCAAUCCCAGGACCCUGAGAUCAUGACCUCAGCCAAAGGCAGAGGUUUAACCCACUGAGCCACCCAGGUGCCCCUGAUAUUGAUAACAUUAAAAUAAGAUAAUAAAUAACAUAAAUAAAGCAGUUGGCCAACCUAGCUGAAGAUUAUGUAAAAGUUCCUGCUCUAUACAUUUGAAAAAUUUUCAAAAGAUAAAAAAUAAAAUUGACUUUUGCUAGCUCA